UAGUCAGUGGCUCAGUGGUAGAGCUCCCAUUUCGUAUGCGGGAAGAUCUGGGUUCGAUUCCCAGUUGCUUAC
rnacentral:tRNA from 1 species